AUGGACAUCGGUCAUCCAGCACCCAUACAUUUAUUGAUUUUUGCCCAGGUAACAUCAGCCAUGCUUAUUGGGCAACAGUAUCCUCAUUUCAUAGACAAAAUAACCAAACCUCAGAGGAGGGAAAGCCAAGAUUUCAAUCAAGUUUCUUUGCCUGAACCAGCACUAGGUCAUACUACCUUUGUCCCCAUAUUCUGCAGGAUAUGUUGCCAUGGAGCUGCUGAUGAGUCACUGAGUCAUGGCUUGCUUUGCUCAAGUGACUGUGGUUUUUAUAACACUGAUACUCAAAUCAGACACCCGUGGAUUCUACUUUUAAAAACUUCAAGGCCCAUCCUAACUCAGAGUACCUCAUCACAAAUUGGAUUGCAGAGAACUCAAAUGAAGAGGACAAGCAAACUCAGGAAUGUGGAGCACCCAUCAUCUGCCAUGGUCAAGGAGAUAAUCUGUGGAGAGAGAGAGAAAACAGAUGGAGAGAGCUGCACACGCAGAGAUCCACGAGGCUCCUGAGAAUAAACAAGAAUCUCUUGGCUUCUCAAGAGCCUUCCAGACUUUCCUCCUUAUGUUUGGGAGUUUUCCUGACUGCCCUCCUUGACCUUGGUCAGCAAGGACACUUAUAAACUUGGCGGUGUGGGGUGUGUGUGUGUGUGUGUGUGUGUGUGUAGUGGGGAAGGUCAUGAGAUUUAAGCCAGUUUCUAUUAUUUUUUUUUUGUCUUUUGUCUUUUUAUGGCCACACCCAUGGCAUAUGGAGGUUCCCAGGCUAGGGGUCUAAUUGGAGCUGUAGCUGCUGGCCUACGCCACAGCCACAGCAACACGGGAUCUGAGCUGUGUCUGUGACCUACAGCACAGCUCACAGCAACACUGGAUGCUUAACCCACUGAGCAAGGCCAGGGAUUGAACCCGCAACUUCAUGGUUCCUAGUCGGAUUCAUUAACCAUUGAGCCACAAUGGGAACUCCUGAGUUUCUACUCUUCAUAUACAUAAAGUUCCUAAAGCAUAUUGGUAAUACUUUUCUAUUUUAAUUGAACUUUGGUAUUUACUCUAUCAUUUUCCAAUGGAUGUGGCAUCAACUUAACAUUCUCUAGCCUCUCCUUUCAUUAUUACCUGGCCCCUAAAUAACUUUUGCCCCCACUUCUUGUCCCUCUUCCUCCUUUUGGGGCUCCACCAUCUUUGCCUCUGCUCAGCUAUUUCUUCAACUUCAUCCUUAUUCCUAGAUGUUCUAGGCAAUCUCCUACUCAACUCAAAGCUCAACAAAAUAUCUCUUCCUCUGUAAUGUCUUUCUGAAUAAUUCAGGAAAGAUGAAUCAUUUUGCUGUUUAUAUUCACACAGUAUUUUAUUUGCCUUUAAUAUAUUAUGUUAUCAUUAGUGGUUAAAGUGUUUCCCUCAAGGGUAGAGACUGGGUAUCCCUCUCUAUUACUUAUCUUUUAUCACCAUCAUGUAGGACGGCACCAGGAGGGGAAUAAUAAGUGCUCAGAAAAAAAAAAUAUAUGUUUUGUAUGAAUGGACUCAGGAAAUAUCACAGCAAAUAUGUGUAUGUGAUGUUUUGUGAAUUCUAGAAAUAAAGUAUGUCAUCCAAGAGUGGUAUAAAUACAUAUAUAUUAUAAGAAUUCCAUAUAGCAUAAGGUACUAAGGAUAAUCAGCAAAUAUAGUGGUUAAUGAAAAAUACCACCAUUAAGGAAUACAUUAAAAUGAAGUUUUGUAAGAACCAAAAAUCAGACUAAA
rnacentral:lncRNA from 1 species